rnacentral:tRNA from 1 species
GGCCCUGUCGUCUAGCGGUUCAGGACGCCACCUUUUCAGGGUGGAUAUCGGGGGUUCGAAUCCCCCCAGGGUCA